rnacentral:lncRNA from 1 species
GGGAACUCCACAAUUCUCUUUUAAUUAGAAAAAUGUUUGAUAAACCCAAAAUAAUUAAAACACCUAAUCAUGCUUCACACUUUGUCUUAUUACCCCACAGACCACAUGAGACAAGAGAAAGACCCCUCGAAACUUAUAUUCCAUUUGCUACAAUUGACCAUCUGGGGAAAGCAGACAAAGACCAAACUUCCAGAAACUUGGAGACAGGGAGAGCACAGAGGAUCUUCCGCUGCUCUCAUCGGGGGCAGGAGCCAAGCCUGGCAUUGUUGGAACUGGAGAGAGACGUGCUAGAGUGCAGAAUGUUCAUCGGGGUGAAUGGAAAGAUGUAGAAGAAAUGUGCUUACAAGGUGAGGGAGUGUGUGGUGACAAGGGUGUGAGCACAAACCCUGGAAGCCAAAGGGGUUGGUGCUCGAUGGGACUGAGUCACUUCAUGCUUUUGGUGUUGAGGGGGAAGGAGAAUGUUAACUUUAGAUGUUUCCUAUCCAAUUAUCAGGAGUAUCUGACUUAGGAAAGCAGAAUAAUUACUGUGUUUUAUUAAGUGAAAAGUGAGGCUUGGCUCUAGAUGCCACCUUCAAAUUUUGACUCAAAAAGUGUGUGGUGGAGAACAUUGAGACCUCUGGGUGUGAUGGAAGAUGAUAUAAGAAAAAGAAUAUAUAUGACUGACUGGGUCACUGCGAUACAGCAGAAAUUGAUAUAAUACUGUAAAUCAACUAUACUCUAAAAAGAGAUUUCCAGAUCAUGGGAAGCGAGGAUAAAUUCUCUGAAGGGUUUGGUAAGAUAAAUAGCAAACAUUUAUG